rnacentral:rRNA from 1 species
UACGUAGGCAGCAGGCGUUGUUCGGAGUUACUGGGCGUAAAGGGUGUGUAGGCGGUUCUUUAAGUUUGGGGUGAAAUCUCCCGGCUCAACUGGGAGGGUGCGCCGAAUACUGAGGGACUAGAGUACGGGAGAGGAAAGUGGAAUUCCUGGUGUAGCGGUGAAAUGCGUAGAUAUCAGGAGGAACACCGGUGGUGUAGACGGCUUUCUGGACCGACACUGACGCUGAGACACGAAAGCGUGGGUAGCAAACAGG